rnacentral:lncRNA from 1 species
AAAGGGAACACUACAGGCAGUUAACUUUACUGACUUUGGAAAGCUUUUGUUUACCGACUAGUUUGCAGGAAUAGGGAGAGGAGGACAACCGUUUUGGAGGAGAGGGAGGAGAACUGAAGUCGUGCGUUUGGGAGCAAGUGUUAGGUGAGUAAAACCUCUGAAAUUUCUUAGUUCAAGAAUUACAGUUGUUCUUCUUUCCCUCUUCCAUUGUUUUUGGUAAUUAUUUGAGUUGUUGUUUUGCCAUUGAGAAUUUCACUAGGGAUGCUUGGUUGUUUGGAAACUGGGUUCGGUCGGGUUUUUUCUCUUCUGUUAUGGUUUGGGUUGAAUUUGCUGUAAUUGGUCAAUUUAGCAUCCUUGUUUGUCUUUGAAUUCAUGAUUUGAUUGCACAGAUUCGUUGGGCAUUUUGAGUAGUAUAAAAUUGAUAUAUUAUUUGCCCAAAUUGAUUGAGAAAUAAGGAAGUUACGGUGUUGAGAAGUUGUACUGUUUGUUGGUUCACAAUAAUAACGACCCGGAUGGUUUCCAUGACAUUUUUGGCUCAUAAAACUCCUCUUUUAAAUACGAAUUUCACACAGUAUUGUGGGGGGUUUCAUUCACUUUCCAUAGGAUCAAGAAUCAUUUAAAACGGAUUAGAAUUAAGCCUUGUGGGGAGACUUCAAAGUUGGGAAAAUUCCAUCAGAUUUUCUGGAGCAGAAAUCUAAUUAAUCUAGGUUCUAACUGAAGUUUGUUGUUAAAUCUUGCUUAGAAACGUUGCUGCAUAGCCUUAUGUUUUCAUGAUAUAUGAUUUGUUGUGUUCUUAUACUUGUUAUAAACCUCAGAGAUUAUGCAGAUAAAUUGUUAUUUAACUGUAACAUAUUAUGGAUGCUUCUUCACUCUUACAAGUUGAAAAUCUUUCACUGAGUUGUUGCUAUUAUAUUAUCUCUUGAUGUUAUAUUGAUCCUCGCAGGUAUUUGUGUAAAAAAAUAUAUGUUGCUACUAAAAUACUGUGAUUCCAUGUCCGAAACCGAAUAAGGGCAAUUGAUCAUUUUCAUGUUCCUUAAAGUUGUAUAUGUCAACAUACUAUUGUACCAGUAUUAUUGGUUUUACAGAGUCACGAUGCAUAGUCAAAAUGUGUAAAGGUUAGAAUGCUUUGUGUGCUUUGUAGUUGUAGGAUGGGUGGGUUGAUCCCGUAGUGUGCAAGUAGGAAACAAGAUGGGUGAGUUGAUCCCCUAGUGAGCAAGCAGGGAACAAGAAGAGUCCUUGGGGUGAAAAGCCUCAAAAUAGUUAGUGCACUAAUUUGUCGUUGACCAUUCACUGUGUGUAUGAUCCGUGUUUGUGUAUAGUCCUACUUGGUGAGUUGAUCCAUGUGGGUGUUAUAGGUGAGAUGUAUUAUCAAUGGUGUAUGUUAUGUACAACGUGAGUUAUUUCCUUGAGUUAGUUUAAACAACAAGAGGAAGGGAUAUGUUAUGUCUAAAUAUUGGUUUGUAUGUGUCCUUCAAUAAGUUAUAGCUACUGAAUUUAUGUGAUGUUAAUUGAUGUGUUCCAUGUUAUUCUCUCAUUUGAAAUAUUCUUUUGUUAUACAUCAAGAAUUAUAUUUGUGUGUAACAUAGUCUCUUGUGUAGUUUUACUCAUACAAGCUUCAUAAGCUUACCGGGUUUUCUUUUCUUUUGUGAACCCUGUACACCAUUUUAUGGUGUAGGGAGUGACUUUGCAGGGAGUUAGUCUUGAAGGUCAACAAGAGGCAAUCAGGUGUAGUAAUUGACGCCUACCACUUGCAUGGAAAAUGAGUGACAUGAUUCUUAUGUAAAUUCCUAGAUUUAAAUUUACACAUUCGCUCUAUGGUUAGAGUUUGAUAUCAUACCUUCAAUAUGGAUGUAAGGGGUUUAUGAUUUUAAUUUUUACUUUCUGUCAUUCGUGAAUAAUUAAUUAUUCCUCUGUAUUGGAUAAUUUUCCAAUUCACAUUCAAAUUCAUUGCUUUUGAAAAUAUGUUUCAAAGCGUAAAAUUUGGGAUGUGACAGGGAUGAAGUCUUUAGAGGGGAGGACUUCCAUGGUAGCGGGGAAGGUGUUGUCGCCUCCAAAUUUCCCUCAAUUCUCAUCUCAUCACCUCUGACUUCAAAUUGCUCAAAAUUUUUCACUGGGAAAAACUUAUUUAUUUACCCAGAAAACUCGAAAGUGAUAAUAAAGAUGGAUAAAUGGAGAUUUCUAGCUUCUGGGUGUUGAAACGAAUUUUGGAAAUUGGCUGGAUUGUAAAGAUUAAUUUUACAUGUUUGAAGUUAUCAAGUUCAAGUUAUUAUAAUCCAUUUGAAGCUGUGAAAUUUUGAUUGAUAUUGCAAACUGAGUUGUUUGUUUUGAUAGUUGGAUGGCAGGUGAGGAUUUAGUGUGCAUUUGCAGAAGGCUGAAGGUUUUACAUCCUAGCUACGAUGAUUGAUUACCAGUAUAUGCUCUUUGGACUUUGAAUUUCUCAUAUUCUAUGACGAGAAUUUGGGAAGAGUCAGAGAAAUGAGAGAAGAGAUGAGAUAGUAUCUCAAAAGUUGAAGCAAGAGACAUCUUGACCGUGAGAUUAAACGGUCAAGAUUUUAUUACGAGGUAAUAUUAGGAGAGAGUUACGAGGAGAGGAUCUGGAUCCGUCAUUUAUAGAUAGGCAAGAUGUUCUGGUAAUACCUACAGUGCAAUGUCCUGUGUUGCCCUCUUUCUUCACUUCAUGCUUCGCAUAAUAAUUUGAAUCAUUAUUCGUUACACCCCAAUAGUACUACUGAAAUCAUCUAGAUGGCUAGAUUCCAGAUGGGGCCUAAUAGAAACAACGAAACAAGCAUAUUAUGCAAUUGUUACUUUUUUUUUGGGCAGCUGCCCCAAAGUUGAAUGACUGUUUGCAUUCAUCAUCAAAAUCACACAAAUAGUGAAAUCAAAAACUUAAAAGUUUCUAUCGAUUUGAACUUCUCCAGCAAUCCCAUUCAAAUUUCAAGAACUUUAACAAUCACUAAACGUUACCAAAAUAGAAUAUAACAACCAUUGCAAUUUUAUUUGAUAAAGAUAGAUCUUGCAUUUUUAGCAUCAAAAUCAUAUAUUCAAUCAUUAUCAAGUUUUUCUUUAAAAAUUACAUCUUGUUAUAAAUAUUAUAAUCUAUGUGGCUGUCCACGUAAUUACUUAUUAGUUCUGUACUCUGAUGUAAACCCUACCUCUAUGUAAGGAGGCUAAUGAGAAUGAAUGAGAACAAUUUUACCUCCUUUCAACUAUUUUCUCUGUGUCUUCUCUUCUUCUUUUCUUUAUUUCACAAUACGUUAUCAGCACGACUUUACAUUUUGAGUUGAUAACGCUGAUAACGACCAAACCCUAGAAUAUCAAUGUUUUGUUUAUGAACUCAAUGAUGAUCGAAAAAGUCAUACGGUGCAACUCAAUGUUGUUUAUUCUCACUGAUAGUCUUGAUCUAUGAGUUUGAUUUGUUUAUUGCUUUUUAAUUCAGAUCAUGUUGAUUGUUAACGGUUGCAUUUAUGAUUGUGGGUGUUUGAUGCAUCAUCGAUGUUUGAUGCUCCACCUCAUAGAAAUUGGGUGUUUAAUUGGGUGAUUGAUGCUUGAUCUCCUAGAGGUGGGUGUUUAAUUGGGUGAUUGAUGCUUGAUCUCCUAGAGGUUACGACACUAAGCUCCAUCCAAUUCACUAUCCCCAGUCCCUGCCAGGUUAGGCAAAGAUUAUGUAUUUGCAAACAAAUGGAUUGGUUCGAUCGUCCUUCAUAUAUCUAGAUUAUGGGACAACUAGCUACUAGCUUGCAUAUUACAAUCAUAUGUUUCGAUUGGCUUUAACAAGCAAACGAAAGGGAUUUGAUCAACCAUCAUGAUAUAUACUUCUCUAUGAUUAUCCAUGAACCAAUCUUUGUCGUUACUUUUCAAUUUUACAUUGUAAAAUGAUUUUUCAAUUGUUUGGUUUAUUAUAAAUUUGUUUUAUCCCCAGUAGUCGUAAAAUGAUCAACAUGAGGCUUCAUGGAUCAUUGCACCCAUAUAGAACCUGUUUCGUUAUGCAUAUUGGAUAAUUGGAUAUUGUUUACAUGUGUUUUUAAUCCUUGAAAUAUAUCUCAGUUUAUACAUCAUGCAUGUACGUUGAAUCGAUUAUACAAGUGCUAUAAGUUUCUUGUAAAGAUCAUAUGAAGUCUUUCAGCACUUGUGAAAUUUACGAGGGCCAGAAGA